GACGAACGCUGGCGGCGUGCCUAAUACAUGCAAGUUGAGCGCUGAAGGUUGGUACUUGUACCGACGGGAUGAGCAGCGAACGGGUGAGUAACGCGUGGGGAAUCUGCCUUUGAGCGGGGGACAACAUUUGGAAACGAAUGCUAAUACCGCAUAAAAACUUUAAACACAAGUUUUAAGUUUGAAAGAUGCAAUUGCUUCACUAAAAGAUGAUCCCGCGGUGUAGUUAGCUAGUUGGUGAGGUUAAGGCACACCAAGGCGAUGAAACAUAGCCGACCUGAGAGGGUGAUCGGCAACAUUGGGACUGAGACACGGCCCAAACUCCUACGGGAGGCAGCAGUAGGGAAUCUUCGGCAAUGGACGAAAGUCUGACCGAGCAACGCCGCGUGAGUGAAGAAGGUUUUCGGAUCGUAAAACUCUGUUGGUAGAGAAGAACGUUGGUGAGAGUGGAAAGCUCAUCAAGUGACGGUAACUACCCAGAAAGGGACGGCUAACUACGUGCCAGCAGCCGCCAUAA
rnacentral:rRNA from 1 species